rnacentral:lncRNA from 1 species
UUUUUUUCCGCACUCACCUUACUUUUAGACACUUAUGGGGUUACCCCAAACUUAGAAUUUAACACAGUUUAAAGACAUAACAUUGACUCUGAACAGGGUAAGGAAGUGUUUGGAUGUGGUUUACAUUAAUGUGGUUAUAUAAACAAACAAAGGGUACAAGCUCAACGAGGUUAACAAGGGAUAAUAUUAAAGGGAUGGCUAGAAAGGCUCAGGGCUAUUAUUCAAACAAUG